GUAUUCACCGCAGCAUGCUGAUCUCCGAUUACUAGCGAUUCCGACUUCACGUAGCCGAGUUGCAGACUACGAUCCGGACUACGAUCGGCUUUAAGGGAUUGGCUCCACCUCGCGGCUUGGCAACCCUCUGUACCGACCAUUGUAUGACGUGUGAAGCCCUACCCAUAAGGGCCAUGAGGACUUGACGUCAUCCCCACCUUCCUCCGGUUUGUCACCGGCAGUCUCACUAGAGUGCCCAACUAAAUGAUGGCAACUAGUGACAAGGGUUGCGCUCGUUGCGGGACUUAACCCAACAUCUCACGACACGAGCUGACGACAGCCAUGCAGCACCUGUGUUCUGGCUCCCGAAGGCACCCUCGGCUCUCACCAAGGUUCCAGACAUGUCAAGGGUAGGUAGGGUUUUUCGCGUUGCAUCGAAUUAAUCCACAUCAUCCACCGCUUGUGCGGGUCCCCGUCAAUUCCUUUGAGUUUUAACCUUGCGGCCGUACUCCCCAGGCGGUCGACUUCACGCGUUAGCUGCGUCACUCAGUGCAUUGCUGCUCCGAACGACUAGUCGACAUCGUUUAGGGCGUGGACUACCAGGGUAUCUAGUCCUGUUUGCUCCCCACGCUUUCGUGCAUGAGCGUCAGUACAGGCCCAGGGGGCUGCCUUCGCCAUCGGUGUU
rnacentral:rRNA from 1 species